AUAAUUGGGGUUUCUCUCGUUUUGUGCCACUGGGUGAGCUCCAUGAAUCGGCAAAUGGCUUGUUGGUAAAUGAUGUUCUUAUUGUGGAAGUCGAGAUCUCAAUGUUGGAGGACAAUGUGUAGAAGCCCGCCCUUGUUUGAAUGACGAAAAAAGGGUAUACAUAUAUAUUCCUCCAAUUAGAUAUGCAAGACAUGUAUACAUUGAAAGGUCGUCGAGGUUGAAAGAGUUCUCUCACACCUAGGUGGUCUUUGGUCCUACACUUGUGGAAUGCAGAUGAUCGGGUAGACCUGUAGCCCGUUGGUGAUCCAAAUUGUUCAAAAAAAAAAAGGGGACCAGGUUUAAUGCAAAGAAGAAACAAUGGGGAUAUUAACAAACUAAUAUCGCUGGAUGCCUGGAUUCAAAAAUUCAGGAUUUUUGUAGGU